GAUGAACGCUGGCGGCGUGCUUAACACAUGCAAGUCGAACGGGAAACCUUUUAUUGAAGCUUCGGCAGAUUUAGCUGGUUUCUAGUGGCGGACGGGUGAGUAACGCGUGGGUAACCUGCCUUAUACAGGGGGAUAACAACCAGAAAUGGUUGCUAAUACCGCAUAAGCGCACAGGACCGCAUGGUCCGGUGUGAAAAACUCCGGUGGUAUAAGAUGGACCCGCGUUGGAUUAGCUAGUUGGCAGGGUAACGGCCUACCAAGGCGACGAUCCAUAGCCGGCCUGAGAGGGGGAACGGCCACAAUGGGACUGAGACACGGCCCAGACUCCUACGGGAGGCAGCAGUGGGGAAUAGUGCACAAUGGGGGAAACCCUGAUGCAGCGACGCCGCGUGAAGGAAGAAGUAUCUCGGGAUGUAAACUUCUAUCAGCAGGGAAGAUAGUGACGGUACCUGACUAAGAAGCCCCGGCUAACUACGUG
rnacentral:rRNA from 1 species